UAUCCCUAGUGUUGUGUGCCUGCCGUACGAAGUUGAGUUGGGAUGUUGGCUCUUUCGUUGGCCCAAAAAAUAAAGAAUUCAACGAAACUAAUUGCAAAAAACGGACAAAUUGAGAAAAAGAACUAAACAGAAACAAUUUUUUCAAAUAAUUUGCAAUUAUUUGUCACAUUAAGUUCAAUAAGAUUAUAGAAAACUAAAAAAGGAAAUUUUUUCGGUAAAGGCACGUCGUCGCUGACAAGUAAAAAUUCCAUAAAUUGUUUUUGUGCAAAAAGAAAGUGUCGAAAGAUAUAUGGAAAAAAAUCAGUGUAGUGUGAAAAGAAGCAAUUGAUGGUAGAAGUGAAAUCGUGAUGUCACAACUUUAGACUCGCUUAGACCAAAAACAGCCAAACUAAUUCUAAUUAAAUAGAAGAGGCUCUGCUUGGUGGUCGGGUUUCUUUUAAUACGAUUUUUUUUAUUUCUUUCAAGUUGGAAAAUUUGUUGGAGGAAUUCCCAAAGAGAAGUUGUGAAAAAAUAAUCCAAUUGCCAAAGAACAAAGAAUAACGUUAACAAACAAAACCAAAAGAAAAAGCCCGUGUGAGAGAGAGAGCGAACAAGAGAGUGUUUUUUUUUGAGAGACUCAUUGCAUGCAACUCUUUGACGUACGUUUCUCACUCUGCCGUAAAACAAACAAAAAAAGCAAAUCCCGAACCAGAAUUAAUGAAAAUACGUCCACAAAUUGAUAUAAAAAAGAAAAUUGCCCAAACGACAAGUCUUAAUUAAUAGUUUAUGAAGCAAAAAGACACAAAAUAAUAAACCCUCCAGUUAUAACAACAACGAUUUUAAACAACAACAACAAUUACGGCCAAUACGCAUAAUAAGCCAAACAACCGUCACACAAACACUCUAUUGACAAACUAGAAAAAUACAGCAACAACAAAUUACUACACCAUUUAAUUACAUACAGUACAUCACGAUUCCGCCCACAACAAGAAAAGAGUUGCCACUUCUUUAAAAAAAAGUGAAACAAAACAAAAAAACGAAACGAAAUUUUAUUUAUCAACAAAUAAAAAUUAUAUCUCAAAAAACGUCCAAAGACUUCCUAUUUCCCCCUGAUUUUAAUUUAUAUCCGUGCCCGUCCAUUAAAUACCAACACACCACACAACAACACACACACACACACCGACUCUCACACACACAGAGAAACAGAGAAAAACCAACGUGUACUCACGUCCAUUAUCCUUGCACAAGACAUUGUUGCGAGUCGAGCACAAACAAGUCCUUCGCCAGGAGUGAGUGUAGCUGUGGAAACGCCGUGAGAACACUAAGAUUUGCUGUCACAACGACUAACGGUAUCUGUUGUAAUCAUAUUUAGUCGUUUACAACAUGUCUCUGGAUUCAGGUGCUGGUGGCGGCGGUGGCGGCACAUCGUCCAAGACUGUCGAUGAGCUUCGCAUGGAAGUCGAGCGUUUAACGCGUGAACUCGAUCAAGCCACAAGUGAACGAGCUCAAUCGGCCCAGUAUGGCCUUUCGCUGUUGGAAGAGAAAUCGGCUCUGGAACAACGGGUCGAGGAGUUGGAAACCUUGUACGACAAUGCCAAACAUGAAUUGGAUAUAACACAUGAAGCUCUUACCAAAUAUCAGACCUCGCAAAAAGUCACAACUAAAACUGGCAUUGAGCAGGAGGAGACACUGCUCAAUGAGUCGGCCGCAAGGGAGACAUCAUUAAAUUUACAAAUUUUAGAAUUAGAAAAUGAGGUGAAACAAUUGCGUCAUGAAUUGGAACGUGUGCGCAAUGAACGUGAUCGCAUGUUGCAGGAGAACUCCGAUAUCGGGCGCGACAAGUCCGAUAACGAGGCGGAGAAGUUGCGUCUUAAAGCUGAGCUUAAGGAACUUAAAUUCCGUGAAACAAGAAUGCUUACGGAAUAUUCGGAGUUGGAGGAGGAGAACAUUACGCUGCAAAAGCAGGUCUCAAGUUUACGAAGUUCACAGGUUGAAUUUGAAGGUGCCAAACAUGAAAUACGUCGUCUGACCGAAGAAUUGGAAUUACUAAAUCAACAAGUUGAUGAACUGGCGAAUUUAAAGAAGAUCGCCGAAAAGCAAAUGGAAGAAGCCUUAGAAACACUGCAGGGUGAACGCGAAGCCAAAUACGCUCUCAAAAAGGAACUAGACAGCCAUUUGAAUCGCGAAUCCAUGUAUCACAUAAGCAAUCUGGCCUACAACAUCAGAGGUACCAUCUGCGAUGACAACACCAGUGCCAACAGUGACGGAGAAGAUGACAAUCUGGCCUUGAAACGAUUCGAAGCCAAUUUGUCAACGGAGCUCAAAUCACCGGAUGGCACGAAAUGUGAUCUCUUCUCUGAAAUUCAUUUGAAUGAAUUGAAGAAACUCGAAAAACAACUCGAAGCCAUGGAGAAUGAAAAGACCCAUUUGACGGCCAAUUUACGUGAGGCCCAAACGAGCCUGGAUAAAUCACAAAAUGAACUGCAAAACUUCAUGGCACGUCUGGCCAUUUUGGCAGCUCACGUGGAUGCACUGAUGCAACUGAAAAAGCAAUACGACAACAAGGAAGAUUCACAAGAGGCUAUUAAACAACAACAAAAUGAGGAAAACCUCAAACAGCAACUACGUGAUACUCUGUCCAAAUACAGUAAUUGGUUUACUUUGUCCGCCAAGGAAAUCGAUGGUCUCAAGACUGAUUUGAAUGAACUGCAGAAGGGUUUGAACUACACCGAUGCCAUGACAUCGCUGCGUAACGAAAUAACCAAUCUGAAAAAUAAACUCAUGUCGACAGAACAGAAAUCUCUCGACUUGCAAAGUGAUGUCCAGACAUUGACAAAUAUUUCACAAAAUGCCGGCCAAAGUUUGGGCUCAGCUCGUUCGACACUGGUGGCAUUGAGUGAUGAUUUGGCCCAGCUGUAUCAUCUGGUGUGCACGGUGAAUGGUGAAAUGCCCACAAGAGUAUUAUUGGACCACAAGAGUGACGAUAUGAGCUUUGAAAAUGAUUCACUGACCGCCAUACAGUCACAAUUCAAAUCAGAUGUACUCAUAUCGAAACCACAAAUUAUCGAAGACCUGCAGGGAUUGGCUGAUUCAGUGGAAAUCAAGAAAUAUGUUGAUACUGUAUCGGAUCAAAUUAAAUAUCUGAAGACCGCAGUUGAACAUACCAUUGAGCUUAAUAAGAAUAAAGUUCGCGGUGAUGUUUCCGAUGGUGAUAAAUACAAUCGCGAAGAAGUCGAAGAACUACAAGAACAGAUCAUCAAACUCAAGAGUUUGUUGUCUACGAAACGUGAGCAAAUCGCCACCCUGCGUACUGUGCUCAAAUCCAACAAGCAGACUGCUGAAGUUGCUCUCGCCAACCUCAAAUCCAAAUAUGAAAAUGAGAAGAUGGUCGUAAGCGAGACAAUGUCCAAACUGAGAAAUGAAUUGAAAAUUCUCAAAGAGGAUGCGGCAACAUUCUCAAGUUUGCGUGCAAUGUUUGCUGCCCGUUGUGAAGAAUAUGUCACACAAGUUGACGAUCUUAAUCGUCAAUUGGAAGCUGCCGAAGAAGAGAAGAAAACUCUUAAUCAACUCCUGCGUUUGGCCGUUCAGCAAAAAUUGAAUUUAACUCAAAAGUUGGAAGAAAUCGAAAUGGAUCGGUGGGUUCAUUUGGGUCGUUAAUAGUUUUAAAGAAGAAAAAACAAACUUAUCGAUCGAUUUUUCUUCAACAAAGUUUUUUGGUUCAUAAAUCCCACGUUUUUGUAUUUGUUUUAAAAAGUUCCUUCACAUAACGUAGCAUUGAGUUGAAAUGUUUCUAGUCUCUUUCUUUUUUGGUUAUUUUAUUAUUGACAUCACAUCAUUAGUCAAGAGUUUUCUACUUGAACGACCACCCACCCACCAUUGCAUUCAUUACUGUUAUUUAUCUCAAGUUUCCGCCCCCUCACUAUCCAAUGAUUUCUCCACAUCUUUUUGGUGUUUGUUGUGUGUGUGUGUGGUCAUUAUUACAUUCAAUUUUUUUUUUCUCAAAAGAGUUAUAUUUGCGUAACGUGUGUUUUCUGUUUUAUUACCAUGCAGUGGUUUUAUUUUAUCAUUGAGAAAUGCGUCACGCUCGCCGUCCCAUGCCACCACAGCGCGGUACUGGCGGCAGAUCAUCCUUUUCAUCACGGCCCUCGACAAGAAAUCCGGCAAAUAACAAUCCUAAUAACUUCUAACAUAAAAUCAGCGUGCAGCGUAAACUUUUAGCUUUAGUUUAUACUCUACUUAAGUUAUAAAUCUAAUUUAAUACAACAACAACAACUACAACACCACUACUAAACUAACACAUGAGAAAUUAAUAUAAUUUGUUGUCGCUAUCUACGACUAUAAUUUUAAUUUCAAUUCCUAUGCAAUUGUUUAACCAUCUCCUUUUGUAUUCUAUUAUUUUUUCUUUUCAUUGGUAUUCUUCUUUUGUUUUGUUAAGUUUAUUAUGUAUUUUGUAUUGUAUUUUAUAUGAUAAUUUUUCCUUUGGUUGAUGGGUAUUAUUUUUGAAAGUUUAAUUUAAAAAAUAAAUUAACUUAGUUAGACAAAAGAAAAAAAAUUAUAAAAAUAAAUUACGCAAAAUUUCCCUAAUUCCAGCAACUGCCCACAUGAAAGUUGCAAUGGGGAGGAUUUUGCCGAAACCCCUAGAACAUGUAUUAUUUUUGAAAACACAAAAAGAAAUCAUGGAAAAUUUGAUCCUAUUUUUUUCUCCACAUUCUUAUAAAUGUAUCUUUUUUGUUGUAUUCAUAUUAACACAGCUACACACACACACCCACAAAAAGCUAAAACGAAACUAUUUUAUAAAUUUAUUACAACAACAACUGCAACUUUUUGUGUAAUUUAUAUAAUGUAUUAAUUAUUAUUAUACAAGAAAACAACAACUGGAAACAUUUAUUAUUGUUAUACAAAAAAAUAACAACAGCAACAGAUAUUUAUUUAAACCUGAUUUAAUCAAUUUCAAAUUUAUAGAAGAAAAACAAAUGUUUAUAAUUAAUACGGUUUGUUACUUACCACACACACGUCCAUUUAAUGCAAUUGAAACAAAGUAAAAAACAUGAAAAAGAAAAUUAUUAUAUUUAUAUAUUUACUAAAGAAAUUAAAUGCAAUCAAGUUUUCUUUAAGAACAACUUUCUGUAUUGAUUUUUUUUCUAGAAAAAAAAACAAACUUGCAAACACAACACACCCACUCGAGUUAUUAUUUGUUUUUGAAAUUAUUAAUGUUACUUCCAUUGGCCUUAGUUGACACUAUGCUUGGAUAUUUAUCCAGCCAGAAUGCUCUACAUAAAAAACAUUUUUUUUCGAGAAAAUAUAUCGACCUAUAAUCGAUAAUGUAAAAAGUUCUUGGGAACAAAACAUGCCAAAACUAAUGCAGAUUCGGAAAUAGGGCUUAUUAGUCCCGUAGGAGCUAAAAAGUUUUUGGAUAAACUCAUGGCGGGGCAUAAGAACUAGCAACAAUUAAAUUUUAAAUAAAUGUAGGUCUAGUUGUCGAAAAAUGUUUCAUGUCUCUGGAUUUUCGAGAUGGAAUAGCAUUUUGGCAUAAAUAUUCAUCUGUCGAAAACUAUUCCAGUUAAAUUUGAUUGAAUCCAUUUUCAUAUAUAUUUCUCAAUUUUAACUUUAUAUAAAAGUAAAACUAUUAACCAUCCAAUAGGAUAGUUUAAUUUAUUGACAAAAAAUAAUUGGCUUCAUUCCAGAGAGUGGGUCACACUUCUAUCAAUGAAUCCGUUUUUGAUACUUGAUAUUUUCAAACCCCAUUGGAUUGGAUUCAAAUAAUUCCAAACAAUUUAAAGGCUAAGAUUAUAUUUCAUGGUUAAUAUUUAUACGACUUCCUGUACUUCUUUAGCCCUUCUAUAUCCAGACUAUAAACAACAAUCUUUCAAAGAAUUGGUCUAACGAAUGUUUUCACUAAUAGACUUGUAAUAAUGAGAUUCGCUAACCAAAGCAAGGGCUGACCUUCACCUCUUCAUGUAGAUGAUCCACUAGUGUCAUGAGGAGACAUCCUGCCGCAGUUCUCAUCACAGCAUUCUGGCAGGUCUGGAUGUUCUUCCACUGCGUAACACUUAUAUUCGCAGACCACACUGGGACCGCAUAGGUGACCACAGACCGGCCUAUCACGUUUUAAGAGGUCAACAUAGUCUCUUGUUAUGUAAACUUAAAUGCUGCUGACUAGAGCCUGGAGGAUCUUGUACCUUCUUUUCAUUCUCUCGCUCACGUCGCAUAUACCUUUGGCUUGCGCGGACGACUUGAACGUGCUUUCGAAUGUGACGCCGAGGAUCUUGGGGUAGUUUUUGGUCUAAAUAUAUUUUCCCCGACCUGCUCAUUCAGUUCAGUCCACAUCUCCGCAGACCAUGUAGUAAAGAGUGUGGCCGUUGUGGAAGUAGGUGGGAAGCUCCGCGAGACAUAUAUCAUCAACACCGGGGACGGACGCCAUGAUCGUAUAAUCAUCCGCAUACCUUACGAAUACCUUACCGUCCGGAGGGCGAGGAUUUCCGGUAAAGGUUAAACAGUUCCGAAGAUAUUAUGAUAUUUCAUGGUUAAUAUUUAAACGACUUUCUGGACUUCUUUAGUCUUUCUAUAUCCAGACUAUAAACAACAAUCUUUCAAAGAAUGCGUCUAAGGACUGUUUUCACUAAUAGACUUUGUAGGAUUAUAGGAUUCACGCUAACCAAAGCAACUAACUGCAACACCGUAGUCGAGUUCACAAUCUGAAGUCUUAGAUCAUUUUCAUGAAAUUAAUAGAUGGACUGAGGAAAAAACAUUGUUUGUUUUCGGAAAAUUAAGUAGCACCUUAAUUUGUCCAUACUCAAUACGGCGAAUUGGUAUGCAUUCUGGCUGGGUAUCCCAUUGAAAGCGGUUACCUUUGUUAUCAUUGUUAUUAAUAAUUAUUAGCGAAAUCUUUUGGAAUUUCUUUAUACAAAUAUUUUUAAAUUAAAAUUUGGUUGGCUUUUUGAAAAAGUUGCGUUCAGUUUAAUAUUUUUUAUAACCAAAAACAAGAAAUUCCCCAAAAGAAACUACAAAACACGCUGUACGCAAAUUAAAAAUUAAACAAAAAACCGAAAUUAAAAACUAAAAAAGAAAUUAAAACUUUUUGGAAGUUAAAAUGAUAAGAAAAAAUAUGUAUGAUUUUAUAAAGGCAAAUAACAUUUUUUUGGUGUUUUUGAUAGACAAUUUUAGAAUGAAAAGAAAAUUUAAAGAAAACCCAACAAAAAAACGAGCAAUGUCAAAUAUAAUUUUGUGUUCAAAUAAUACAGAUUAACAAGGAGACAAAAAUAAUUGGUAUUAAAUUAAACAGUAGAUGAAUCAACAGCAAAAUAAACCAUUAUUAGAUAAUAUGUAGCUAAUAAAUACAAUUCCUAUACCCAAGGACAAUGUGGCUAUUGUCCUAUUGGUCCUUCCAAACUACUCACAAAUGUAGCGGAAAAUUACUAAGAUAUUCAACACUCAGUCAAAGAUCUAUAAUUAGCAGUAGCAUGAAAUAGAACUUUAAACAAUUAGAAUACAAAUUUUGGUUUGCCCACUCUAAAAGGAGAAUUGCAAAAAAUGAGACAAAAUUUCCACCACCAUCAAUAGAAUAUUUAUGUUUUCCUAUCAGAAAAAAAGACAUUACAAUUAAUAUCGAUUUCAAUUAAAGUCUAAAGUUUAAGAAUCAAAUAUUUUAUUUUUGUUAUAAAUUUUUAAUUUUUUUCUUGUGGAAUUAUUUUUUAAUAAUUACUGAAAAUACCACAAAUUCUUUUUUUCUCACUCAAUAUUUCUUUUUUAGAAUAUUUCAAACACUAAUGUGCUCUUAUUUUAAUUUUAUUUUUCUAAUUUAUAUUAAAAUUAAGUGAAUUUUUUAUGUUAGUUUUAGGCAUGUUAGCAAAAGAAAGAUUCAAUUAUAACAAGAUGCAACUAAUUUUUAAAUAAUUAAAUAAAAAGUGAAUAAAAAUCAAAUUAUAUUUAUAUAAACAAGGAAUAUAAACAAAAAACACACAAACCACAAUUUAUUUUUGUUUUAUUUUAUUUCUAUUAUUAUUUCCUUCUUAUUGAUAUUGAGAAAAAGUGUUUUGGAGGAGGAAAAGGGUGUAAAAUAUAUCUUGUCAUUAGGGGAAAAUGUUAUGUUUAGAGGGACAUCGAAAGCCACAAUAUAUAAUCGCUGCUCGAACAUGUAUUUCGGGCAGAACCCGAUUGAAAAGAGUCAGAUCGAACAAAGUAGUAUGAGCUGCUACAACAACAACCACAAUAUAUAAUCGCUGCUGGGUAUUGAUUUGAUUUGUAAAACCGUCGAAGAAGUGCAGCAUAUAAUGUGAACUUGUACCACAUUUCGAGCCCAAUACGAAUUGAGGCGGCUGCACCAUCCAUCAGUUGUGACAAAACUACUCUGGUUUGUCGCGGCAGUUCUCGUUCUUCAGCAGCAGCAAUGGGAGGAGGAUGUGAGUUUAAAGUUAAAAGAUGAAAACAGUAAAUGCAUGGAAAAAUCGGGUAUAUUUUACUCGUACUUUACUAGUAUCGUGUGGAGAGAUUUAUAUUUAGGCUUGGGUCCCAAUUCUGUCACAUUUUCAGGAUUUCAAAUAGAAAUGAAAAAUGUAACAAAUCACUUUCCAAGCUUUAAAGAUUUCGGAAAUACUUGGUAAUAUUGGGUGUAUUUUACUCGAUGUGGUAUCAUGUAAGGCGGCAGGACAGAUUUGUUACAUAUGGACAUAUCAGCUCAGAUCUCACUCCUUCACACUUUUCAAGGAUUUCGGACAGAAAUAAAGAACGAAAAGUCGAACAAAUCACUUUCCCAGUUUUAAGGAUUUAGAUCGUCGUCAGCUCCAGCUACAGACUUGAUAGUCACCAUAAAUUUAAUUAAAUUUUGACACUUUUCUCCUGAACUAGAAGAAAACCGGUCUUUUAAUUUUAAUCUGUUUUUAAUACUUGUUUAUUCUUUUAAAUAUUUAUUGAUGGUGGUGGAGAUUUUGUUUACUCUUUGCAACAAAUAUGAAAGAACACUACUAAAUUUAUUGAAAUAUCACAUAAUAGAGCAAUAGAAUUAAUAAAAAAAGCAUUAUUAACAAAGAUAUUGGAAUAUUUUUCUAAGACGCCUAAAAGUAUGCAAUAUAUUUCAACAGUAGCUAUAUCACAAAACAUUGAAUUAAACUUUAACCUCUUAGCAUUGAAUAGAAAAACAAAUUUGCAAAAGUUUAAAUGAAAACAUUAUUUGAAAAGAAUAGCGACCCAGUUUUAUGUUGAAAAUUUUAGAAGAAUUAAAUGUUAUUUGUUUGUUUUUAAUUUCAAUGCACUUAACAACAUAUUUUCAACACUUUUUAACUACCGAGCCAUUAACAAAUGAAUUUAUUGAUACAAAAAGAAAGGAAAAAACAAAUGAAUCAGACUCAUUCCAUACCAGAAAUCAUCGAAUUGUCCAAAUAAAUUACAAAAAAUACAAGAAAAAA